rnacentral:rRNA from 1 species
GACGAACGCUGGCGGCGUGCUUAACACAUGCAAGUCGAACGAUGAAGAAGAGAAACGCGAACUUCGGUUCAAAUUUCACUUCGGAUUAGUGGCAGACGGGUGAGUAACGCGUGAGCAACCUACCUCUUACAAAGGGAUAGCCUCGGGAAACCGUGAUUAAUACCAUAUGACACAUUCAUAAGGCAUCUUAGGAAUGUUAAAGCUACGGCGGUAAGAGAUGGGCUCGCGUCCCAUUAGCUAGUUGGUGAGGUAACGGCCCACCAAGGCGACGAUGGGUAACCGGCCUGAGAGGGUGAACGGUCACAUUGGAACUGAGACACGGUCCAAACUCCUACAGGAGGCAGCAGUGGGGAAUAUUGCACAAUGGAGGGAACUCUGAUGCAGCGACGCCGCGUGGGCGAUGAAGGAAUUCGUUUCGUAAAGCUCUGUUCUAUGGGAAGAAAAGGACUGUACCAUAGGAGAAAGCCCCGGCUAAAUACGUG